rnacentral:lncRNA from 1 species
GCAGUCUGUGAAUGAGUCCAAACUAGAGUCAUACAUAUAAUACUUACAAUGUGAUUCUGAUAGGUAUCUCUCCCUCUGAUGAACCCAGGAAAGACUUUUACACUGUUCUUUCCAGCAUGGUAACCAUUACUAAACAUAAUGUGUAACAGAAAAGUAAUACUUUUUCUUGUUUUAAAAAUUGAAAGAGUUGGAAAAAACAAUCUCUUGGUAUUUACAGAUUAUACUCAAUUAGGAGCAGUAGAACUAAUGGGAGGAGCUAAACAGACUUUUUUGGUUGCUGUUCUUUUUUGUUGCUGUUUUUAUUGUUAACUGCAAGAAAUUGUGUAGAUGUCUGCCUGUGACUCAGUCCCCUGGCUAAUGCCAGUCUCAUGGAUCUGCACAUAGUCUUCUGUCGACACUGUCCCCUUCCCAGUGGCAGAUGUGUGGCUAAUUUCUAUCGGAGGGCUACAACUUUUACUGAUGCCAUCAUACCCAAACUCUCUAACCUGCUAUCAGAAGGCAAAAUGUGCCUGUGGAGCCUUUUGGUCUUCCCUGGGGAACUGAAGACAGGGGAAGAUCUGGGCACAUCCUCUGAGUAAACCACAGCUGAAGAGGUUUUCAAACUGUUCAUGCUUCAGAACACUGGAAGACUCCAGUAGGAAUAACUAUAAACCUACUCAUUACAGUCUGCAGAUCUCCUAGUGUGGGUGAGUGAAUAAGCAUCUGAAAACAACUGUGCUUUAUUCUUUUUCUUACACAUCUGCCAUG